rnacentral:rRNA from 1 species
UCAAGCGAGAAAGGGCUGAUGGUGGAUACCUAGGCACGCAGCGGCGAAGAAGGACGUGGUUACCAACGAAAAGCUCCGGGGAGUUGGAAGCAAACAGAGAGCCGGAGAUAUCCGAAUGGGGGAACCCAGAAUACUACCUGUUGAAUAUAUAGACAGGAAAGAGCGAACCUGGCGAAUUGAAACAUCUUAGUAGCCAGAGGAAAAGAAAACAAAAGUGAUUCCCCAAGUAGUGGUGAGCGAACGGGGAGAAGCCCAAACCAAGUUACAUGUAACUUGGGGUAGUGGGACUGCGACAAAAUCGAAUCUGAAGGUUAGACGAAGCAUUUGAAAGAUGCACCAGAGAAAGUGAAAGUCUUGUAGUCGAAAACUAAACAGAUAGAAGCAGUAUCCCGAGUAGCAUGGAGCACGUGAAAUUCCAUGUGAAUCAGCCGGGACCACCCGGUAAGGCUAAAUACGUCUGCGUGACCGAUAGCGAAACAGUACCGCGAGGGAAAGGUGAAAAGAACCCCGGGAGGGGAGUGAAAUAGAACAUGAAACCAUCAGCCUACAAGCAGUUAGAGCACGAUUAAACGUGUGAUAGCGUGCCUGUUGAAGAAUGAGCCGGCGAGUUAUAGGUACUGGUAGGUUAAGACGGGAAUGUCAGAGCCAAAGCGAAAGCGAGUUUGAAAAGAGCGAAAAUCAGUAUUUAUAGACCCGAACCCUGGCGAUCUAACCAUGUCCAGGAUGAAGCAAGGGUGACACCUUGUGGAGGUCCGAACCGACCAAUGUUGAAAAAUUGGCGGAUGAGGUGUGGUUAGGGGUGAAAUGCCAAUCGAGCCAGGAGCUAGCUGGUUCUCCCCGAAAUGUGUUGAGGCGCAGCGGUUAGGAAUAUCACUUGGGGGUAAAGCACUGUUUCGGUGCGGGCUGGGAGACCGGUACCAAAUCGAGACAAACUCAGAAUACCAAGUUAACACCUAGCCAGUGAGACGGUGGGGGAUAAGCUUCAUCGUCAAGAGGGAAACAGCCCAGACCGCCAGCUAAUGGUCCCAAAAUCUACGUUAAGUGGCAAAGGAGGUGGGAGUGCAUAGACAACCAGGAGGUUUGCCUAGAAGCAGCCACCCUUGAAAGAGUGCGUAAUAGCUCACUGGUCAAGCGCUCCUGCGCCGAAAAUGAACGGGACUAAACGUAGUACCGAAGCUGCGGACUUAGAAAUAAGUGGUAGGGGAGCGUUCUGUAGUAGGGAGAAGCUGUAGCGGCAAGCAGCAGUGGACGAAACAGAAGUGAGAAUGUCGGCUUGAGUAGCGCAAAUAUUGGUGAGAAUCCAAUACCCCGAAACCCCAAGGGUUCCAGAGGCAGGUUCGUCCACUCUGGGUAAGUCGGGACCUAAGGCGAGGCCGAACGGCGUAGUCGAUGGAUAACGGGUUAAGAAUCCCGUACUUGGAUGUAAUUGUAGCGAGGGACGGAGAAGGCGAGUGUCAGCCGGAUGUUGGUUACCGGCUCAACCAUUAAGUUGGAGAGAGACGGAGAAAACGUCUUGAGAUGAGAUGGGAGUACGAGAUUCUACGGAAUCGAAGUGGCAUAGUCAGGCUUCCAAGAAAAGCUCGAACUACGGAAAUUGCAUUUGACCCGUACCCGAAACCGACACAGGUGGGGAGGUAGAGGAUACCGAGGGGCGCGAGAUAACUCUCUCUAAGGAACUCGGCAAAAUGGCCCCGUAACUUCGGAAGAAGGGGUGCCCAAGGUAGAACUUGGGUCGCAGUGAAGAGGUCCAGGCGACUGUUUACCAAAAACACAGGUCUCCGCGAAGUGAAAUCACGCAGUAUGGGGGCUGACGCCUGCCCAGUGCCGGAAGGUUAAGGAAGUUGGUCAGGCUUUCGGGCUGAAGCUGACGACCGAAGCCCCGGUGAACGGCGGCCGUAACUAUAACGGUCCUAAGGUAGCGAAAUUCCUUGUCGGGUAAGUUCCGACCCGCACGAAAGGCGUAACGAUCUGGACGGUGUCUCAGAGAGAGACUCGGCGAAAUAGGAUUGUCUGUGAAGAUACGGACUACCUGCACCUGGACAGAAAGACCCUAUGAAGCUUUACUGUAGCCUGGAAUUGGGUUCGGGCUUGGCGUGCGCAGGAUAGGUGGGAGGCGAAGAGAUAUUCCUUGUGGGGAGUAUGGAGCCAACGGUGAGAUACCACUCUCGCGAAGCUAGAAUUCUAACCAUCUCCCGUGAGCCGGGAGUGGGACGGUUUCAGGUGGGCAGUUUGACUGGGGCGGUCGCCUCCUAAAUGGUAACGGAGGCGCGCAAAGGUUCCCUCAGCACGGUUGGAAAUCGUGCGGCGAGUGUAAAGGCAUGAAGGGAGCUUGACUGCAAGACCCACAAGUCGAGCAGGUACGAAAGUAGGUCUUAGUGAUCCGACGGCUCAGAGUGGAAUGGCCGUCGCUCAACGGAUAAAAGUUACUCUAGGGAUAACAGGCUGAUCUCCCCCAAGAGUCCACAUCGACGGGGAGGUUUGGCACCUCGAUGUCGGCUCAUCGCAACCUGGGGCGGAAGUACGUCCCAAGGGUUGGGCUGUUCGCCCAUUAAAGCGGUACGUGAGCUGGGUUCAGAACGUCGUGAGACAGUUCGGUCCAUAUCCGGUGCAGGCGUUAGAACAUUGAGAGGAGUCUUCCUUAGUACGAGAGGACCGGGAAGAACGAACCUCUGGUGUACCAGUUAUCGUGCCAACGGUAAACGCUGGGUAGCCAUGUUCGGAGCGGAUAACCGCUGAAAGCAUCUAAGUGGGAAGCCCACCUCAAGAUGAGUGUUCUCAUCCCAAUUUGGGAGUAAGGUUACACAUAGAACAUGUGUUGAUAGGCUUUCGGUGGAAGUGUGGCAACAUAUGAAGCCUAGAAGUACUAACAAACCGAGGGCUUGACCU